UUAGAUACCCUAUUAGUUAAAUAAAAAUUUAGUAGUAGUUGUUUAUCAUGAAACUAAAAUUAAUUGGCGGCUUUUUAAAUUUUUUAGAGGAAUUUAUUCUGUGAAGGAUUAAACACCUACAUCUUACUUGCGUUUGUUACUUUCAGUUUGUAUACCGCUAUUUUUAAACAUAAAAAUAUGUUUUUUUUUCUAAUUGAAUUAGUAAAAUUUUAGGUUAGGUGCAGCUUAUACGCAAGAUUGAAAUAAAUUACAUAAAUUUUUAUUUAACCACUCUUUAUUAAGUAUUUUAUAAAGGGUAGUAGAAUUUAAUAGUAAAAUUAGCUUAUUUUGUUAAUUUGAAUAUCUAUUUAAUUGUGUACAUAUUGCCCGUCACUCUCUUUUAGAGAUAAGUC
rnacentral:rRNA from 1 species